AACGAGCGCCGGCGGCGUGCCUAACACAUGCAAGUCGAACGAAGCCUUCGGGCUUAGUGGCGCACGGGUGCGUAACGCGUGGGAAUCUGCCUUUUGCUUCGGAAUAACAGUUAGAAAUGACUGCUAAUACCGGAUGAUGUCCCCCUGAGAGAUCUUGGGGACCAAAGAUUUAUCGGCAAGAGAUGAGCCCGCGUAGGAUUAGGUAGUUGGUGGGGUAAAGGCCUACUAAGCCGACGAUCCUUAGUUGGUCUGAGAGGAUGAUCAGCCACACUGGGACUGAGACACGGCCCAGACUCCUACGGGAGGCAGCAGUGGGGAAUAUUGGACAAUGGACGCAAGUCUGAUCCAGCAAUGCCGCGUGAGUGAUGAAGGCCUUAGGGUUGUAAAGCUCUUUUACCAGGGAUGAUAAUGACAGUAGUGUGAGAAGAAGCCCCGGCUAACUUCGUGCCAGCAGCCGCCGUAACAC
rnacentral:rRNA from 1 species